rnacentral:rRNA from 1 species
AUUGAACGCUGGCGGCAGGCUUAACACAUGCAAGUCGAGCGGAGAUGAGGUGCUUGCACCUUAUCUUAGCGGCGGACGGGUGAGUAAUGCUUAGGAAUCUGCCUAUUAGUGGGGGACAACAUUCCGAAAGGAAUGCUAAUACCGCAUACGUCCUACGGGAGAAAGCAGGGGAUCUUCGGACCUUGCGCUAAUAGAUGAGCCUAAGUCGGAUUAGCUGGUUGGUGGGGUAAAGGCCUACCAAGGCGACGAUCUGUAGCGGGUCUGAGAGGAUGAUCCGCCACUCUGGGACUGAGACACGGCCCAGACUCCUACGGGAGGCAGCAGUGGGGAAUAUUGGACAAUGGGGGGAACCCUGAUCCAGCCAUGCCGCGUGUGUGAAGAAGGCCUUAUGGUUGUAAAGCACUUUAAGCGAGGAGGAGGCUACUGAGACUAAUACUCUUGGAUAGUGGACGUUACUCGCAGAAUAAGCACCGGCUAACUCUGUGCCAGCAGCCGCCGUAAGAC